rnacentral:lncRNA from 1 species
ACAAAUUCAACCAAUGGAUAGAAAUUACAGAAUUUGAGCUGCUGUGUUCAACUUUUCUGCUAAGCUCAGCUGUGUCCUUGUGAUGCUUGACAAAUAUAGCAAGAGUAAGUGAUCCUGUAGGAACCAUGUGAAAGCAAAACCCAGAAAAGUCAGCAAAAAAAGCCAUUAAUGAUGAAGUAACUACAAAUCUACAACAAGAAAUUCAAAGAUAUGACCUCUCCAUAAUUAUAAUCUACAUACAAUACUAGGUCCAUCAUCAGAGAAUUUUCAAUUUUGGUAAUUCUGAUCAACCUAACAUUGCAUCAUUACCUGAAGACUAUCAUUCACUAGCUUAUCAAAGGCUGAUGGUGAAAGUUUGGGAAGGGAAGCAACAGUUUCAGAUAUAAACCGGCCUACGCUACUGUCUGCUGCGGCACGCCCUUCCUGUGGAAAACAAUCAUAUUAUCCCACAUGGCAAAAAGGUAAGAAUUAAUUAAAUGAGGCACCAAAUCUUACCACGACAUCAUCAACAUAUUUAUAGACAUCAUCAAUUAAGGCUAGUAGCCGCUGCAUUGAAGCUUCCAUUCCUUCCAAAUCACUUGGAAUUUUAUCAACCAUAGGUGUCUUAAGGAUGUCAACUACAGUUAUAAAAGAAAGAAAAAAAGCCUUAAUAACAUUGCAUCUGACACUAAAUGCAAUCUUAUACGUGCAACAUUAAAAUCUUUGGCUUUAUCAACAUUCAAUAGCACAGAACCAAAACAUCUAAUACUGGAUAUGAAAACAAUCACUGAAAGAAAAAAAAUGAAACAGCAAAUACUUAUAGCGAGAUAAAUCUAAUUUAGACACAAGAAAAUAAAUUAAAUACAGUUUGAUUUGGGAUAAAAGGAUUUGAAAUGGGGAGAUAUGAACUUGACAUUUAACUUAAAUUAGGUUUGGUUGGCUUGGAUCCAGCGGGCUGAAGCUUGUUUAAGGGUGAGGCAUGAACAUCUACAAAGAAGGCAGAAUUUUAAGUCUAUAGUUGUAUAAUUUGGACUAGACUUAAAUUCAUAUCAUUGAGUUUAAAGCCAUCCAUCAAAACCUAGCUUGACCUUAUCAAUAGAGUCCAGUAACUGUUGCAUUAGAAUGAUAUCUUUACAUUAUGAAAGAUGAAUAUUUCAUAUUGAAAAACAACCAAAAAGGAAUCUUAUAAUCAAUAGAAAAGUCUGCAGCCAGAGAAACACACACACAGAUAUAUUAUUCUAGUUUCACAGGCUAUUAUAAACUACACCUACAUAUGGAACUCAAAUUUGUUAGCCAAAUUACUGCAACAAUUACUUUCAUAAUUUGUUAGCCAACUUACUGCAACAAUUAAGAGCCUUGCCUAACCACAAAGCCUUCGCCCAACAUCAACAGAAGCAUAAUGAAAGUAAAGGGGGGAAAACAUGCAAGACCACAAAAGCCUAAGACUCCUAGUCAGAGUAGAACAGGGAUAACAUUUGUAAGUGAAAAUUUUAGUAGAAGAAAGAAAUUUUCAGAAUAUACAUACAUCCAACUCGCUCAGCUUCAACCAUGCGAAGAUCAACAGGAAUUUCUUGAAAUUGUGCAGCAAGCUGACGGUCUCCAAGAGACAAAUUAACAGAAACAUACGCUUUAAUGGUACCCCCUCCAUUCCUGAACCCUGUAUCCACUGUUAGAUGAAUGGGAUUGGGAACUUCUCUAGAAUAGAACUCAUGGAUCAAUGCACUUCCACCAGUGACCCCUAAUCCUGUUGAAUACCUGAAACCAAGUACUAAAGCAUGAAAAUGGAGCAUCUGUCUACAAAACACUUCUGAAAACAUAAAAUUUUAUUUUGAAAAUAUUCAUAUUUCAUAAAAGCUGCAUAGCCAUAGCUUGGUAGCUUAGGGAAGGGCUUUCCAACCUCAUCAAAUGCAGUGAUUCAAACAAAAUAUAGUACAGUAUGACCAAAAUUAAAGAAAAAAAAAAAGAGAUUUCAUUACUAGAGUUUACAAGGAAAAAAGAACCUUCUGCUGCAGUUUAUUGACAAUGAAAAUAUAAAGCAAACAAAAAUGAAGAUGAAAAUACCAUCAACAAAAUAUAGAAUGGUAAGACUCAUUACUAGAGUUUACAAGGCAACAACAACCUUCUAUUGCAGUUUAUUAACAAUGAAAAUACAAACCAAACAAAGAUGAAGAUGAAAAAUACCAUCCAACAAUAACUUCCUUAGGGUUCACUUUCUGGUGAGACAGCAACAUAUUAUGAUGGUAAUCAAUAUCUAGAGCAACCUGCAGCUGACACAUAAUUGAAAGAUGAGAAAAAGAGGAAAGACUUAAGAGAAGUUCAUGCUCAUAGCUCCAUUUUUUUUCAAUCCGUUAAAUAACAUGUAGUCGGUUCCACACAUACCAGAUUGGUCAGAAAUUUGAAGUUCUAGAAUUAAAUGAUAAAAAAGAAAAAUAGAGCUCAUAAGUGUUCAAGCUCUUCAGCGUCUCAUCCAACAUUCCAAAUUUCAGUUACAAAUAGCAUAAAUUUAGUAAAAUUCCUCAAAUUUUUCCUACUUACUAAGCUAGUCUUCUAGAUUCCUGCUAAGCAUGUAUCACCUCUGUGGAUUCAUUCAUAAGUCUAGCUUUUCAAACUAGCGUAAAACAAGCAUUAGCAAUGACGGAAACCUCUCUAAACAUGGAUUACAAAACUUUUUAGCUAUGAAGACACCGUUUCAUUCAAUUGGAAGUCAUCAUUACAAGUCACAAGCAACAAAAAAAAAAAAAACAUUCCAUAAUUAUCUUAAAAAAUGAAGCCAUUACCUGAUCAGAGAAUUCAUUGUGAGGUACAGCGUAUGAAUUUCGAAUGUCGACGGUGCCAUCUGAUAGGACGGAUCCGAGAAGCGUGCCAAUGACACGCUCGGCCUGGUCAGGCCGCCUCACGUAGCAAUCGCAGAUGUUGAAGAUCACCAAAGGGUGGACCUUCGCCGACAAGGUCGACGAGGAUGAAGUUGGGGAUAACUGAAGGACAGUGUGCUCGCUCGCCG